rnacentral:pre_miRNA from 1 species
UGAUGAUGGUGGUGAUGAUGAUGGUGGUGAUGAUGAUGGUGGUGAUGAUUAUUAUGUUUAUAUAGGCUAUCUUAAUCAUCAUCAUCUUUUUCAUCUUCAUCAUCAUUAUCAUCA